AACGAACGCUGGCGGCAGGCUUAACACAUGCAAGUCGAGCGCCCCGCAAGGGGAGCGGCAGACGGGUGAGUAACGCGUGGGGAUCUGCCUAGUGGUACGGAACAACACGGGGAAACUCGUGCUAAUACCGUAUAAGUCCUUCGGGAGAAAGAUUUAUCGCCAUUAGAUUAACCCGCGUCCGAUUAGCUAGUUGGUGAGGUAACGGCUCACCAAGGCGACGAUCAGUAGCUGGUCUGCGAGGGUGAUCAGACACACUGGUACUGAGACACGGCCCAGACUUCUACGUGAGGCAGCAGUAGAGAAUAUUGGACAAUGUGCGGAAGCCUGAUCCAGACAUGCCGCGUGAGGGAUGAAGGCCUUAGGGUUGUAAAGCUCUUUCUCUGGGGAAGAUAAUGACGGUACCCAGAGAAGAAGCACAGGCUAACUUCGUGCCAGCCGCCGCGGUAC
rnacentral:rRNA from 1 species